rnacentral:rRNA from 1 species
UGGGGAAUAUUGCACAAUGGGCGAAAGCCUGAUGCAGCAACGCCGCGUGAGUGAUGAAGGCCUUCGGGUUGUAAAGCUCUGUCUUUUGGGACGAUAAUGACGGUACCAAAGGAGGAAGCCACGGCUAACUACGUGCCAGCAGCCGCGGUAAUACGUAGGUGGCAAGCGUUGUACGGAUUUACUGGGCGUAAAGGAUGCGUAGGCGGAUUUUUAAGUGAGAUGUGAAAACCCUAAGCUUAACUUGGGGACUGCAUUUCAUACUGGAAAUCUAGAGUGCGGGAGAGGAGAAUGGAAUUCCUAGUGUAGCGGUGAAAUGCGUAGAGAUUAGGAAGAACACCAGUGGCGAAGGCGAUUCUCUGGACCGUAACUGACGCUGAGGCAUGAAAGCGUGGGUAGCAAACAGGAUUAGAUACCCUGGUAGUCCACGCCGUAAACGAUGAGUACUAGGUGUAGGAGGUAUCGACCCCUUCUGUGCCGCAGUUAACACAAUAAGUACUCCGCCUGGGAAGUACGAUCGCAAGAUU